GAUGAACGCUGGCGGCGUGCCUAAUACAUGCAAGUCGAGCGAACAGACGAGGAGCUUGCUCCUCUGACGUUAGCGGCGGACGGGUGAGUAACACGUGGAUAACCUACCUAUAAGACUGGGAUAACUUCGGGAAACCGGAGCUAAUACCGGAUAAUAUAUUGAACCGCAUGGUUCAAUAGUGAAAGACGGUUUUGCUGUCACUUAUAGAUGGAUCCGCGCCGCAUUAGCUAGUUGGUAAGGUAACGGCUUACCAAGGCGACGAUGCGUAGCCGACCGGAGAGGGUGAUCGGCCACACUGGAACGGAGACACGGUCCAGACUCCUACGGGAGGCAGCAGUAGGGAAUCUUCCGCAAUGGGCGAAAGCCUGACGGAGCAACGCCGCGUGAGUGAUGAAGGUCUUCGGAUCGUAAAACUCUGUUAUUAGGGAAGAACAAAUGUGUAAGUAACUAUGCACGUCUUGACGGUACCUAAUCAGAAAGCCACGGCUAACUACGUG
rnacentral:rRNA from 1 species